AUUGAACGCUGGCGGCAGGCCUAACACAUGCAAGUCGAACGAGUGGCGGACGGGUGAGUAAUGUCUGGGCAACUGCCUGAUGGAGGGGGAUAACUACUGGAAACGGUAGCUAAUACCGCAUACCAUCGGAUGUGCCCAGAUGGGAUUAGCUAGUAGGUGGGGUAAAGGCUCACCUAGGCGACGAUCCCUAGCAAGUCUGAGAGGAUGACCAGCAAGACUGGGACUGAGACACGGUCCAGACUCCUACGGGAGGCAGCAGUGGGGAAUAUUGCACAAUGGGCGCAAACCUGAUGCAGCCAUGCCGCGUGUAUGAAGAAGGCCUUCGGGUUGUAAAGUACUUUCAGCGGGGAGGCGGUACCCGCAGAAGAAGCACCGGCUAACUCCGUGCCAGCAGCCGCGGUAAUAC
rnacentral:rRNA from 1 species